CGGGGCAGCAAAGGGAGGCUUCACGGAGGCGGAGGCACUUGGGUUGGGAGAUGAGGAGGAGAAUUUCAAGCGCAAAGGGCAGCACAGAUCACAGGCACUGGGAGCCGGAAGGAGCCUCAGAGCCCCUUGGUUAAGGGCCCGGCAAUUUCUCUUUACCUACUCAGUGCAGAAUCCAGAAUCCGCCGCGCGGUUAGCUGCUCAGAUGUCGCCAGGCUUUCAUGGACGAACACUUCCCCUCUCGCUCCCCCUCCAACGUUCCAGCCUUCCCUGGGGACUGUGGCUGAGGAGGUAGGUGGUUUAGAACCAGCUUCCCAGAUGAACAGCUAGUUCGCGUGGCUUUUGAAGUUAUAGAAGCAAGAUACGCACAUUACAGAAAAUGUUGGAAAAUCAAGAAAAGCAAUCACCCACACUCCCACCUCCCCGCUGUGCGAGCCCGUUCUGCUCAUCCUUGGCUAUUUUUCCCCAAACCUACAGCGUUUUUUAAAAACCUGUUGUAGUCCUACUUUCCAUUUCGGUGUGAACCCUGAGCCUUCCAUUUAAAGCUGUGGUACACGCUCUUGUCAUAGUUUUCUUUCUUCAUGAAUACACAGCGGCAUCGAGCGGCUGAACCACACUGUCUGUAAGGUGGUUCCGCCCCCGUUUGGCAAUUCGGGUGUUUGCCAGUUUCUACCUGCAGCGAACGUCCUGCCUAGAACUUUUUCCGAAAGCAAAAAGGACUUCCUCGGACCAGAUUCCUGGAAGAGAAAUGACUGAUCGGAAGUUGUGGGUAUCUUCUCGGCUCUGGAUAUACAUCCCUUGUCAGAUGGUCACAGAGACUUUAUUUUGAAUUAUGAUUGUCAUAGCCGAUGCCAUUAUUGUUAUGAAAGUAUAGAGCGAAUAAAAAUCAACCAUCCCCCCCCCA